rnacentral:siRNA from 1 species
UGAAGGUAAAUGUAAUACCCCGGU